AUGAGCGAGCAUGGGGCCUCCCGAUGGAUCCUGCUGCGUGUCGACCCUGCGGCCCCCUCUCCCCCUAGCCACCCAGCUGUUGUCAUUGUCGUCGUUUGGUCAGGAGCUUUCUUUCUUGCAGCUGCACAGCUCAUCUCCCUCACGGGCCCCACCUCGAGGAACACCCCCGGGGCAAACGUGCCUUUCAACUGCACAGCGGGCAUCUUCCCCUCACAGAACAUCAACGUCACGUGGCUGAAGGACAAUGACGAGCGCCCAGCCUCGGCCCAGUACCUGCUGGAUCACGGUGGAGGCAACUAUUCGAUCAGCAGCAAAGUCUUUGUGGUCCUGGCCUCCCAUGACCUGGGGUCCACCAUCACCUGUGAGAUCGCCCACAGUGCCCUGGCCGAGCCCCUUCGCGCCACCGUGAAUCUCUCACAGGUGUUCCAAAUCACCCCUUCCCUGAAGAUAACUACCAAGCCCUCUGUGAACCACCUCCGUGAGCAUCAGAGAGUGAACCUCACCUGCCAUGUCAGCAACUUCUACCCUGCCCAUCUGACACUCACCUGGAUGGAAAACCGGCACACGGUCGCUACCGUGAUGAACCCCCAGGUCAUGAGGAACACAGAUGGGACAUACUCACUGAGGCACACGUGGCAGGCAGAGGCCACACUGGAAGGGAGUGAGUUUGCCUGCUGGGUGGUGCAGGACGAUCAGCCCCCUAUGCAAGUCAACAUCACCCUGCGUGCACAGGCACAGGAGCACAAGAAAGGCAGGAUGGCCCACUCCGUGCAGCUGCAGGGCCCCCAGCAGCGGUCUGAGCCCGGCACCAGCAUCCAGCUCACCUACAGCUCCAGCAGAGUGCAGACACAGCAUGUUACUGUCACCUGGUUUAAGAACAGCCUCGAGCUCCCCAGAUCGCAGACCAGCAUCCAGCCUGUUGGGGACACCUACAAUGUGACCAGCAGCGUGCUUGUCCCUCUCCUGGCGGGCGACGCGCUCUCCCUCGUCCUCUGCCACGUCAAGCACAAAUCCACCCUGGUCUUCCAACAGUCUGUCUACCUGAACCACUACCUCCGGGUUUCCCCUGCAGUGACCGUGUCCCAGUCUUCCACUUCCUCCGGCUUGGUGGCUGUCACCUGCCAUGUGCAGAGAUUCUAUCCUCAGAGUGUGUAUGUCACCUGGCUGGAGGACUGCCAUCCACAAAAUGGAACCAAACAACCCGUGUCCAAGAUGAACCAGGACGGGUCCUACAGCCUGGAGAGCUCGUAUCUGGUGAACAUGUCGGCACAGAGAACAGAGCGUGUGUUCACCUGCAGGGUGCAGCACGAGGCCCAGUCUCCCAUCCAGGCCAGCCUCAUCCUGUCCACAGCAGCACACACCCCCUUGAGCUCAGGUCUGGAAAUGCCUGCCAUCAUCUUUGUGGCUUUGCUCCUGGGCUUCAAGGUCUUGCUGGUGAUCAGUUUCACAGUCACAUACAUCUGCAAGUGGUGGCACCUGUGACAGGUAAGGUCAAGGUGGGCCUUACUCCUUAGGGAGGAAGGUCAGGGCCAUGUUUGUGAGCUGGCCAGGCGAGUCCAGGACAUACAGUGUCCCUGGAGUGAUGCAGCCUCUAGAGAAAAUUCUGCAUUCUCCUGCCUUGCCUGAUUUCUUUUGGAAGCCUCAGAACUUCCCAACUCUGUGUGCUGUGCAGUACCCUGGGCUUAGAAGAUUUUCCAAUUCAGGACCUUGGUACCCUGAAGAUGGACAUCCAAGGUGUGGGGAUGGGAUCAAGGUCAAGACCCAAUCUCUGAAAAUUCUGUAUGCUGUUAGGCAUUUAUGUAUUCCUGUUGAUUAUCUUUGAAUUAAUAAAGGAAAGUACUGCUAAAAUCUACUCAUACAACUAUUGAAGAGGCACACAGAUAUGGAAUGGUCACAAAGAUGAAUGUGGAUAUCAGAGAGAGUUUAGAACCCAGACAGUGAGCGGUAGAUGCUUUGCUUCUAGUCUGUACCAUGAACUUGGCCAGUGAACCAAUAAUAAGUAGUAAAUAAGUAAAUGUCCAAUAAGUACAUGGCACUAUGAGCUGGCAUGCAGUAAGUGCUCAACCAGUACUUGUGGCAUGAAUACACAAGUGAAUGAGUGAAUGGGGUACCUUUUUUCCUAUAACUCUUAUAGAUCCUGGAAUAUGUUAUCUUCUGGCCUCUCCAGUGGGCUCAAGUGGGAAGAAACAGCUAGCAGGGACCCACAGGCGUCCAAGACCCCUGGCCAUUAAUGUGCCAUCCCCCAUGGACAUGCUUGCUUCCACAACCCCUCCUGGUCCUACUCCCUUAGAUUUGGAGCCCAGUUAGAUAUGAGGCCCCAGGGAUAUCUUGGUCCUGAUACAUUGGGCUUCACUCCACUCAAGAGAGAAUUAAUCUGCUUGCUCAAUGACAGCGCUUGUUCUUCAGAGCACUUUUCAUCUUGCAUCUGGUGGCUUUCAUAGGCAUGAUUUCAUUCCAACACACGUUAAAUUUGAAAUCGUUAAAAUAGUGAACAAGCAUUUCUUUACUCUGAAUUCUAUAAAAUAUCAUAUAAAAUAUCACCUUUUGCCAUUGUGUUCUUUGGUUUCUUCUUAAAAAUAUUGUCUGAAGUUGGUCAUUCCUAAGCACAAUCUUAUACUUCUAUAAUAUAUGGAUAAACCCAUAAGUAAUACACAGUGUUACUAGCAUGUUUUAAAUUUUAUGUGUUAGUAUAUUGUGCACGGCAUUCUGGUUCUUUUUUAUGCAUAACAGUUUGUGGAAUUUAUUCACAUUGAUAUGUGUAGCUCCAUUGGAUUAAUGUUUCACUACUGUGUGGUCUUCUGUUGCAGGCAUACAGCACCAUGUAUAGAUUCUUGUCGUGAUGGAUGGUGAAGCUUUCUUCAUUGUCUUACUAGUACUUCCUGACCUUCUGUCAUUUGUCUCCCUGAGUACUUGUGGGAGAGUCUCCUGGUCCCAUUAGUAUUGUCCACAAAGCAACAGUGUUGUUAACAUUUGGGAGCUCUAGUUACACAAAUUGCUUUCAAGUGUUGCCUUUUUUUUUUUUUCUGGUGAGUGAGCAAGUGAGUGAGGUAUGUAUGUGCUACAAUCGGGAGAGGUCUUUUUUCCUGCAAAGAUACAUUAUUCAGCACUCCCUCAUAAUGCAUUUCUGUCUUUGCCAUUUAUCGAAUUUCUAGAAAUCUGAGCUCUUUUGAUGAUCUCUUUGUUCCACAAAUCUACUUACCUAUCCCUUUGUCAGUCCUGCACACUCCUAGUUUGAAUAACUUUGUAAUAAGUUUUGCUACCCCUUUUGAACAAAUCAUCUCACUUUUUCUUAUUCAAAAUUGUCUUGGUCCAAAUGUAUUUUAAACUUGCUCUGUCAAAUUUCAUGAGAACCCAUUUUAAAUGAUUUGAUGGCAUUGAAUUUAUACAUUAAUUUGGGCAAAUGGAUCUCUUUCCAAUAUCUUCUCAUUGAUUGGCAUGGCAUACCUCUUUUUAUUUAGGUUUUCUCUUGUAUAAUUUUCAAUUUAUAAUUUUGCAGUCCCCCCAUAAUGGACUUAUGCAUCCUUGGAGCUGUUUUUAAUACUUUUUAGUCUAUGAAACCUCUAAAAAUCAUUAUUGCUUUAUUUCAGUGGCUUUCAACUGCUGAAUAGGACUGACAUUGGGUUUUGAACAUCAAUCUUAUAUCUAGACAGCUUAUAAAAAUUCUUCUGCUAUUGCCAAUAGUAUGGGUAGUCUUUUAUGUGUAACUCCUUUACAUCAACCUAAUGGUCUAAAAUUUGUUUUGACCUGUAUCAGUGUUCCAUGUGCACACAGGGCAACAGUCACAUUGUUCUGUAAGCUGCUCCAUAGGAAACCUGGAGUCACUCACAUCUGUGCCAUCUUCCACUCCUGACAUUACCAUUUUCAGUUCUGCUAACUGAUGUUUGUCACAUCUUUUGCAACAUACAUGUUGCUGAUUUUGAUUUUUUCUUUCUGAGCCAUUCUUCAACUUCCCACAACCCAGUGUGACAUAAUGCCCUACUGUUGACUUCAUGUCACAUGUGCGCCUGUUCUCUUCCCAUCACCCUAUUGUGAUUUAUCAUAAUUUGGGGCAACGGAAUAGGCAGCGUCUACAUUGUAAUGACCAUGUGUAUGCCAUUUAUUGUCAAGCCCGGUGCUAGUCCCAGCUCCUGCUUAGGUUGGGCCUUUCAUACGUGUCCUUACAUGACCACAGUCAAGUACCCUACAGGACAAUGCCAUCCAUGAUCCUAACGGUCUCCCUGUGCUUUGUUUCUUAAUGAUCUCCCAUUCCCACCAUCCCCAGUCCCUGGCAAAUACUAAUCAUUUCUUUGUUUAUGUCACGUCAACACUUUUAAAUGAAGACACUCAGACAGGAUGUAACUUUUUGCACUCAAUGCCUCAAGACCCUUACAAGUCAUCACAAGCGAUUCAUUCCUCUUCAUUGUUAAGGAGUAUUGCAUCAGAUGGUUAUGCAGUUUGCUUUAUUAUUCACCCAUUAGAUGUUUUUGUUGUUUUCAGCUUUCUGUAACUACAAAGAAAUCUGCUAUAAGCAUUUAUUCACAGACUUUUCUGUGUACAUAAGUUUUCAUUUUUUCUGGGGGAAAAUGGGGGAACAAUUGUUAGAUCAUGUGUAAUAAAGUAUGUCUUAGAUUUUUGAGAAAUUGCCAGACUACUUUAGACUGACCAUGCCAGUUUGCAUUCCCGCCUACCAUCAAUGAGAAAUGGCCCUUCUGCACGUGCUAGCUGGCAUUUUGUAGCAUCACCAUGCUUUAUUAUCACCAUUUGAUUAACUACAUAGCAGUAUCACACUGUGGUCUUCAUUUGCAUUUGCCUGAUGGCAGUGAUGUUAAACAUCUUUUCAUGGUUUGUUUGCUAUUUGUAUAUCCUUGUUGGUGAAAUGUCUCUUUAUGUCCUUCGUCCAAUUGCAAUAAGAAUUCUUGUCUUGUUUUUCCUGCAUGCUUGCUGCUAAGUUGUAAGAGUUGUGUUACAGAUGUGAGGCCUUUGUUACAUGUGUGGUUGGCAGAUACUUUCACCCAGUCUGUAGCUUUUAUUCCAUGCCUGGACCUGACCUUUUGGACAGUAUAAAAUUUUAAUUUCCAAUUUAUCAAUUUAAAACAUUGAUCAUGUUUUUGAUGUCAUGUCUAUGAAUCUUUCACCAAGCCCCAGAUCUUGAAGAUGUUUUCCUGUAUUUGCUUCCAAAUAUUUAAUGUUUGUCUAUUUUACAUUUGUACCUAUGGUUAAUUUUGAGAUUUUUUUUUUAUCUAAAAUGUGAGAUUUAGGUUAGUGUUCAUUUUUUGUGUUGAGUAAUAACCAGUUCCUUGUGUUCAGAAAGCUUUCUUGGGUCCAGUGUUGUGGGACAGCAGAUAAACCUGUUGCCUGGAACGCUAUAGCAUUCCAUAUGGGCAUUGGUUUGAGUCCCAGCUGCUUCACUUCUGAUGCAGUUUCCUGUUAAUGUGCCUUGGAAAGCGGUGAAAGAUGACUGAAGUCUCUGAACA